GAUGAUGGGUUACUCACGACUACAGAAUUAGCCCCCGGCAUAAGCUCCUCUACCUGGCCUGUCAAACAUCACGGGAGCAUACUAGGAGGAGACUACAGGGACGAUGAGCCUGUAGCCCAGACUUCCACACUGCAUGGGAGGACUUAGGUGACCACCAUGACGUCUCUUAGAGCUACCAAAUCCCAGGAAGCCUCCGCAGAGUGAGUCACAGCCCUACUUACCCCAAAUGCCGGUCUGGGGUCAUGUUAUAGUCACCCUGGCCAAAAAAUAAAAAAAUAAAAAAAUCCAAUAAGGAAGUUGUCUUUCUACCCCUAGCAAUUCACUCAAACCAAAUACUUCCACUGACCGUGUAGACCACAGACUCCGAGCCCACUUUAAUCUGGAACAUGGCUGCCCCCAGCACGUGGCCUGCAUAGUAUGCCUUGAUUUCCAGCUCAUCAUCCACCUGCAGAGGAAAGAACGCUCUUAGGCCUGCAGGGCAGGAAGGCAGCAGGAAGUAGGUGAUUACCUUAACCCCGUCCAGCCAAUUCCUGUUUCUCAGAAGAAGUCUAGGGCUUAAGGGUUGUAGCAUAGUAAAAAACAAAACUGGGUUAAGGAUCUAAGGAUCUAGAAGAGAAGAAGAAAUUCUAGAACUAGGAGCUACAGGAACCCAACUUAAGAAUUUAAUAGAUGAAGCUGGGUAUGGUUGUACAAGCCUGUCAUCCCAGUACUCUGGAAGCGAGGCAGGGGGAUCACUAUGGGUUCAAGGCCAGCCUGAGGUACAUGGUAAAGUCCUAUCUCAAGAAAGAAAAGAAAAGAAAAGAAAAGAAAAGAAAAGAAAAGAAAAGAAAAGAAAAGAAAAGAAAAGAGAAAAGAAAGAAAGAAAAAAAACCCUGAGAAUUGAGCAUAGUGAAUAAAGUCAAGAGAAGGAAUGCAGGAUUAAAAUGUUGAAGCACUGCACAUGGCGACAUUUAACUGUUAUCUCAGUUCUUGAGUUCUUGGAAUGUUGAAGCAGGACCAGAGUGUUGGAGGCCAACCUGGGCUGUGCUACCUCAAGGGGGAAAAAAAAUCCAGUAUGAACUAUAACACAAAAUGGAAGGCCUACGGUGAAAAGAUCUAAAGUUAAGCCCUUCAGAGCCCUAGGAACAUAGGCAAGAAGAAUUAAAGACCUCAAACUCCAAAGGGAGAGCAGCCUAAACAAAAGGAGCAGACAGUAUACAAAUGAUAACCAUCAUUCUGGAAUUGCGCCUCUCAUGAGAAGUGACCAUGGAAGAGCUUCAAGGAAGACAAGUCCACAGGAAGCAAAGGAAGGGGCCAUGUUGUGGGCAUGUUCUUUGGAAUUGGGAAAUUGCCUCCAAAUUGAAACAUCUGCCCCAAGAAGGAUAGGGAGGCCCAGAGCCUUGGUGGUAAAUAGGAGGUAAACGAAAGAGCACACGCUGGAAGUCCCGAGCGUCCCCACCGACAGUAUAAAAGGUAAUAGUUGCCAGUUAGGUACUCUAACCAGCCAAAUUGUGGGAAGAAAUCAGAGGUAAGAAAUGAUCUGGCUGGAGUGUUGAGAGCCAGACAGAUGCAAGGCUUUUAUCAGAGGCCCUGAUGAGAGAAACAAGAGACUAGUUCUGUGUCCUUGCAUAGGGACAGACUGCGUAAGGCCCAGUCUGAGGCUGGGAUGUGAGGCCUCAAAGAAGUUCUUGGGAACUUGGUUUUUCCCCCUGAAGAGACGAUGCAGCAAGACUGCUGUGUUCAGUCUACAAUGCUUUUGUGUUCUUUGGCCAGAGCACUGGAUUAGCUUCCUGCUGACUUCCUGCAAUUGUAUGAUAAUUUCAGCUAACCCUAUCCUGGAAAUAGUAUAAGAUGCUAUUCUUCUGGGUAAGUUUGGUUGGCAUAAAAGAGCUUAUGGAAGACCUCCAGAGUCCAAACUUUCCUAUCUCCUUAUCUUCUGAUUUCCUGAUAAUCUCGCCCAGGAUCUUGUCACUGAAGAAUGGCCUGCUGGUCCAAAUUGGUGGAGCUGCCUCCAAGCUGGAUAGAAAUCUCCAAGGAAGUUUCACAUGUGUUCUGGUGAUGUUGCUAUUUUUGAGUUUUCCCUGUUCCUUGCAAGUAACCCCUCACCCAUACCCUGUUAGUAACCACAAUAAAAAGUUCUCAUUGGAUC
rnacentral:lncRNA from 1 species